rnacentral:lncRNA from 1 species
AUUUCUGUUCUCUCUGAGCCUGUUAUAUCUAACAUUUUGUUCUUUAAGUAAUUAUGAUUUAACAAGGGAGAUUUGGCCUCAGGACUUUAAUUAAUAGACAAUUUGUUUUUAAGAGAAUUGCUGCCACUAUGAACCAAGGAAGAUAAACAUGAAGAUAAGAUCCUGAGAAAAUUUGCUAAUUUCUAAUUUGAUAAUUUCUUGCAGUUCACCUUCUCUUUGCCUUUCCUUUAAACAAAGUCAGUACAAGGAAAAUAUGCAAACAAAAACAUGUCCUUUCAUAUACUUAAAAAAAUCAACUCUUGUCUAAAAAGUUUAAUUUUAAUCACUCCUAGUUCAGAGAAUUCCAAAGCAUUCCUCAGUCUGAAGGAUAUUCUUAGAGGCGGAAAAAAAGGAAAUUGUGCUACAGCAAAGCAAAUGAAAGUCUCAAAGUGAAAAAUAUGUAGUGAGAUGAAUCGUCAAUCACUCUUCAAGGUCUAAUUCUUCCUACUGAAUUUUCUUCUUCUGGCCUGGUGACACAUUCAGUGAAGGAUCAUGCUUUUAUGUAAUUAAUUCCAUGACUAUAAGUCCUGAAAAAAGAGGUUAUUAAAACUCCAGAGGCUUCUGAGUUCUAGUAAAACCAUUAAGAAGGAACUAAUGUGAUAAUAAAAUGAAAAGCAAUUCAAAACUUAUCAGUCUAAUAAAGAAUAUUAUCAAAUAUCUAACCAUAAUAAAAAUCUUUGAAAAUGAAACAAAGGGAAAAAAACCCCACCAGCUCAGAUUAACAGUCUGUUAUGAUAGGUUUUGGCCCUCAUUAAAUCAGCCAUGAUAUCUCGGAGAGGGUUUUUCAUUACCAAGUGAUUUGUAACCAGAUUCACAGGAGUUGUAGGAGAAUUGCAAGCAACUUGACAUCAAUACCACACACACACACACACACACACACACACACACAAAGCCUAGCACAAACAUUGUCUCUCCUUUGGUACUUACCUCUACGCGUACGAUGCGUUGAAAUAACACCAUUCUACCCAGAAACUCAGAGCAUUUCAUCUCUAUGAAGGGAAUCUUUGUGGCAGACGGCAAUACGCACAGGUCCCCCACCCUCUGUUUUCACAGUCGUGAAGGGAAGAGAGGCUUAAGUGUCCAGCCUAGACCUCUGACUCCCUACUGCAGAGGAAAGGCUGGCUUUCCCCUAAGGGCACUUGUGUCCAUCCCCUCCUGUUCCCACCAGGAUUAUGGCGCACACAACAGUUACAUUUCACAACCACCAGAAAGCAUGAGAUGGGCCACGGAGCAACAUUCAAGUCAUCAGAAUCACAGAAACGUCAGAUGCUCUCUCCUGCUCUGAGUGUCUGGUCUCACCUUACUAUUCGCAAGGAUUUCUCAUCAGCACUCUUCCAUCUUCCAUUCUUUUUUUUGUUUUCCCAGCAGCAUGUGGAAUUCCUGGGCCAGGGAUCAGAUCCAAGCUGCAGUUGUGACCAACACCACAGCUAUGGCAAUGCCAGAUCCUUAACCCACUGUGCCGGGCCUGGGUUCGAACCUGCGACCUGGCAGAGAUGCGGCUGAUCCCAUUGUGCCACAGCGGGAACCCCUUCCAUUCCUGUUUUACUUCCUUCUCUCUCAUCUCUUCAAGGCUCUCCUCCUCCCAGUACCCAUAAGUUACUUCUAGUGCUGUCGACUGGACACAAACACUCAAUCUAAAAGUUGCCAGUUAAGUUUUAUUCUGGGAGCUUACUGAGGAGAAGAGCCCAGGAGACAGGCUCUCAGCUCCGUAGAACUGCUCCAAAGAGGUAGGGGAGGAGCCGGGAUGUUAGGGUCUUCUGCUGGAACAACAACAAAAAGAAACCCCAAACCAACCAAACCAAACCAAACAAAAAACCACACCGUAUAGCUGAACCUCAAAAGAUUACUGCUAGUCACGGAAAACAGAUAUCUCAAGGUAAUGAUUUUCUGUGUAUGGGAAGAUGCAAGAGUCUGGGCUCAUUGAAAUUAUUGCUUUGCUGUGCACCUUACCUCUCUAGGGCCAGUAGCUCAUUUUUCUCUUCCUGAAUUCCCCUUGGGGUGCACUGGCAGGCGGCUGCAAUGGCUGGUGACUUGACGGUUUACUGAAAACAGAGGCAAUAUUCUUUGUCCACAGUGCCCAAUUGAGUCUUAGAAAUCUCACUGUUUUCCACUCCAAGAAAUGGUGCUUAUGAGCUUUCCUGUAAUAAUCUCCAGUAAUAUAAAAUUGGAAGGCACUUGAAGAAAAUUUAAUCAAACUCCUUCAGGUUAGAAGAGAGGUAGCUGAGAAGGUGAUGUGCCUCAGGCCACACAAGAAGUGGCUGGACUGGGAUGGGAACCCUGUGUCCUUGGACUUUGCUAAAUGCCUGAUGAGUAAAAGCUACUGCUGGUGCAUUGUCAAGUCUCUGAAGUGUUUUUUGGAAGUAUAUAAAGCCAUUGAUAAAAAUCAACAUGGUACCUCUUCUUGGAGCCUCAAUUCAACUAGAACUGAUACUGGAAAAAACCCUAAGUACUGUGUUGAUUAAGCUGUUGUACCUCUGUGCCCCCUCCCUUUCCGUGUUCAGGGGAGUGGUGUGGGGCAAACACAGUUACCAUUUGUAGCUGCUCCUUUUUAGGCUCUGCCAAAGGGGGCGCUAGAGGGUGCUGCCAGGCUGGAGGAGAAAAAAGGGACCUCCUUCCUGUUUCCUAUUAGUGACCCAGUGACGGACUGCCUGGUGAUAGUUGCUUACCUUGUGGCAUCUGAUGUUCCAGUAGCAACUGUUGCAGUUUUCCCCAGGAGCACAGAUCGGGUCUCAUUGGUCCCCUUGGAAGUACCCACUCUGCUGUUCCUGUUACCUCCCGCUGAGACCUCCAUGCCGUGUGGGUCUCUGCCUCUCUGCUUCUAGGAUGUAAAACUUCCAGCCUUUUCCUUUUACUUCUCGUCCCUGAGGUUCUGCUUUCUGCAUUACCACCUUUGUGAACCUCCGUGUUCCCUAUUUGCAUUUUUUAGGUCAUCAGUACUUGGUUAUCCAUUUUUUAUGUUAAACACGUGGUUAAAACAAUGGGCAUGGUUUCUGUUUCCUGACCAGACUGAUAUAAGCACUUCCAUAUUUGCAAUUAUAUUAAAAUAAUCAUAAACAUCUAUGGAGUAGAGCACAGAAUUUAUUUAUGUUUAAAAGACAAAACAGGAACUUCUUCAAAGGAAUUUGACACCUCUUGAGAAAUGCCUUCUGUAUUCCCUUCCAGACAGCUUCUGUUAGGCUUACCUUGGUGGGGAAGUUUAAGAAAUAUUGGCUUGGAGUUCCCGCCAUGGCUCAGUGGUUAGUGAACCCGACUAGCAUCCAUGAGGACGUGGGUUUGAUCCCCAGCCUCACUCAGUGGGUUAAGGAUCCAGUGUUGCCGCGAGCUGUGGUGCAGGUUGCAGAUGUGGCUUGGAUCCAGCGUUGCUGUGACUCUGGCGUAGGCCAGCCACUUCAGCUCUUGGACACCUAGCCUGGGAACCUCCAUAUGCCGCAGGUGCAGCCCUAAAAAGACAAAA